GAAACCAAGACAAGUCGCCCAUGGGCAUACACUACCCGUAGGUGAACUUUGUUAAAUACACUAGUUAGAACUGGGCGGACCACCCACUGUAUUUUUGGUUAGUUAGCUGUUGUUAAAGUAGGCUAGUCUAGCUUAGGGGUGUUUUUGCAUAUGUAUUGUUUCUUUCCUUGGGUCCAGCUCAGCCCCUUUUCCUGCUCCCCCCAUUACCGUGUGUUUAUAAAUAAACCCUGAGUUUGACGGUAUUAUUUCAGUUGUCGUGGUUAUUUCGUUCACACUUUGUCACAGCUAUAAUUUGCAUGAGAUAUGUUACGGGUCUCAUUACCAUCCCCCUAGACUGUCGGGCCAAAAGGGAUUCGUAACAACUAUAUACCGUAUCUAUGCCUCUUCCCCCCCCCCCCGUCCGGUCCCUCCAUCUCCGUGCGGGACCUCAGGAAAUUCAGUUCCCUGCAGCGAUCCUUUUCAUUACAGCACAGCACAGGAGGGGACAUCUAUGAAGCAUAGUGUACUUUAUGGUUAACUAAUCUAAGAGACAGAAUCUGAGUCAGGCAUCGGAAAUGGUUACUUGUUAGUUUCACUGACCCCCAAGGCUCUGAUGAAGGCAAAGAUGCCAAAACGGACGCCUGCUGCCCUGUCAAUAAAUGAACAGAUCUAUGCAGAAACAGAGUGCUCCUUUACUUUAUUGUCCUGGGGUAAGGAAUGUUUGUUGCCUUUGGAAUCCUUUCUUUCAUUAUGACCCUGAAUACUGUGUUGUAAACUAUUGACAGCAACCCUGGCCAGUGCUAUCUGGUAUCCCUGGGACGUCCCUACCCUAAACCUGUACCAUUUUAAAUGUCUACUUCAAUGGGGGGUAUAGACGUCCCAAGCAUUCCAGAUAGCAUAGACCCAACAACAAUGUGUAUCAAACUGGUAUCACUAGAGGGUAGUAUUAGAUAGGUGGGAACAGCUAGGGAGCCAAAACUGCCACUUUAUCCAGCUGUGCAUUCUUGACCUUGAGGUAGCUCAGAAUAGAGUAUACCAAACAUUAGGAACACCUUCCUAAUAUUGAGUUGCCUCAGAAAUGCCUCAAUUCGUCCAGGCAUGGACUCUAGAAGGUGUGGGAAGCAUUGGAGUCAACCCAUGUUGACUACUACCAUACCUCUGUUCAAAGGCACUUAACUUGUCUUGCCCAUUCACCCUCUGAAUGGCACACAUACACCAAAAAUAAUGAUUUAACCUAUCUCCUCCCCUUCGUCUACACUGAUUGAAGUGGAUGUAGCAAGUGACAUCAAUAAGGGAUCGUAGCUUUAACCUUGAUUCACCUGGUCAGUCUGUCAUGGAAAGAGCAGGGUUUCUUAAUAUUUGACAUACUGUGUAUUUGUCCAGCUAGAAUAAUAUUUAGUUCAUUGUGUUUUUAUGGAGUAAUAUAAA
rnacentral:lncRNA from 13 species